UGGGGAAUAUUGCACAAUGGGCGCAAGCCUGAUGCAGCCAUGCCGCGUGUAUGAAGAAGGCCUUCGGGUUGUAAAGUACUUUCAGUCGGGAGGAAGGUGCCAAGGUUAAUAACCUUGGCAAUUGACGUUACCGACAGAAGAAGCACCGGCUAACUCCGUGCCAGCAGCCGCGGUAAUACGGAGGGUGCAAGCGUUAAUCGGAAUUACUGGGCGUAAAGCGCACGCAGGCGGUUGAUUGAGUCAGAUGUGAAAUCCCCGGGCUUAACCCGGGAAUUGCAUCUGAUACUGGUCAGCUAGAGUCUU
rnacentral:rRNA from 1 species